ensembl:lncRNA
UUCCAUGUCAGUGUUUGCGCCACACGGGACUGUGUGGUGCCUAAGGAAGAAUUUGUAACUUCUCUCAUUGGGUGCGUUUGAGUUGUAAGGAGAGAAGUCGGUGAAGAUGCAUCUGUGACUGCCGAAAGUCGAACACUGUGGUUUUCUGACAGCGAGGCUCAGAUCAACAUGGCAGUGUUGCCAUUGUUUAUAAAAGCUUCUCUUAAUAAUGUAUUAUAUUAUCUAACCCCAUAAUCACACACUCACAAACUGAAAUCAUAACAUAAUAUUGUGUGUACACAUUGUUCAAUCAAUUAGUGAGAUCGCCUCAAAUAUCAUAUUUGUAUAUGGUGCAUUCGGAAAGUAUUCAGACCCUUUGACUUUUUUAACAUUUUGUUACGUUACAGCUUUAUUCUAAAAUGGAUUACAUUGUUUUUUUUCCGUCAUCAAUCUACUCACAAUACCCCACAAUGACAAAGUAGAAACAGGUUUGACACAAUCCAUUCUCGGAGCUCUACGGACAAUUCCUUCGACCUCAUGGCUUGGUUUUUGCUCUGACAUGCACUGUCAACUGUGGGACCUUAUAUGAACAGGUGUGUGCCUUUCCAAAUCCUGUCCAAUCAAUUGAAUUUUCCACAGGUGGACUCCAAUCAAGUUGUGGAAACAUCUCAAGGUUGAUCAAUAGAAACAGGAUGCUCCUGAGCUUAAUUUGGAGUCUCAUAGCAAAGGGUCUGAAUAGUUAUGUAAAUAAGGUAUUUCAGUUUUUUAUUUUUAACAUUUGCAAACAUGCCUCCAGCCACCCAAGCCAUAGACUGUGCUCUCUGGUUCCAUAUGGCAAGCAGUAACAACUUCUAUCCACAAGCCAUAGACAACUAAAUAGCUAACAUAAUGGCUACAUGGACUGAGUUGACCCUUGUGUUUAAAAAAAAAAAUCACACUCACAGGACUCUACAGACUCACAAUGACACUCCAACACACAUAUAACAUGCACGCACACUUAUACACACAUACUCACAAUUUUUAUUUAUUUUUAUUUCCUUUAUUUAACCAGGUAAGCUAGUUGAGAACAAGUUCUCAUUUACAACUGCAACCUGGCCAAGAUAAAGCAAAGCAGUGUGAUACAAACAACAACACAGAGUUACACAUGGAAUAAACAAGCGUACAGUCAAUAACACUAUAGAAAAAAAGAAAGUCUAUAUACAGUGUGCAAAUGGCGUGAGGAAGUAAGGCAAAUAGGCCAUAGAAGCAAAGUAAUUACAAUUUAGCAAAUGAACACUGGAGUGAUAGAUGAGCAGAUAGUGAUGUGCAAGUAGAAAUCCUGGUGGGCAAAAGAGCAGAAAAGUAAAUAAAAACAACAUACAAUCAUUUGCGCUGCUGCUACUCUGUUUACCAUACAGUAUCCUGAUGCCUAGUCACCUUACCCCUAUACAUAUCUACCUCUAUCACUCCAGUAUCCCUGAACAUUGUAAAUAUGGUUUACUAACUGACCCUGAAUAUAGCUUCUUACUUUCUCAUUUUCUUAUUUUUAUUUCUUGUGUUUUUGUUCUACCUUGUUUUCAGUGCUACAUUGAUAUUGAUUACUGCAUUGUUGUGUUUGGGGCUUGCAAGAAAGGCAUUUCACUGUACUUGGGCA